GACGAACGCUGGCGGCGUGCUUAACACAUGCAAGUCGAGCGGUAAGGCCUUUCGGGGUACACGAGCGGCGAACGGGUGAGUAACACGUGGGUGAUCUGCCCUGCACUUCGGGAUAAGCCUGGGAAACUGGGUCUAAUACCGGAUAUGACCUCCUAUCGCAUAGUGGGUGGUGGAAAGAUUUAUCGGUGCAGGAUGGGCCCGCGGCCUAUCAGCUUGUUGGUGGGGUAAUGGCCUACCAAGGCGACGACGGGUAGCCGACCUGAGAGGGUGACCGGCCACACUGGGACUGAGACACGGCCCAGACUCCUACGGGAGGCAGCAGUGGGGAAUAUUGCACAAUGGGCGAAAGCCUGAUGCAGCGACGCCGCGUGAGGGAUGACGGCCUUCGGGUUGUAAACCUCUUUCAGCAGGGACGAAGCGCAAGUGACGGUACCUGCAGAAGAAGCACCGGCUAACUACGUG
rnacentral:rRNA from 1 species